rnacentral:rRNA from 1 species
CACGGAGUUAGCCGAUCCUUAUUCUUACGGUACAUUCAGCUUCCUUCACGAAGAAAGGUUUAUUCCCGUACAAAAGCAGUUUACAACCCGGAGGGCCGUCGUCCUGCACGCGGCAUGGCUGGUUCAGGGUUGCCCCCAUUGACCAAUAUUCCUUACUGCUGCCUCCCGUAGGAGUCUGGUCCGUGUCUCAGUACCAGUGUGGGGGGCCAUCCUCUCAGAUCCCCUAGCCAUCGUCGCCUUGGUGGGCCCUUACCCCGCCAACUAGCUAAUGGCACGCAUGCCCAUCUUGAUCCUAUGAAUAUUUGAACAUUGGAUAAUGCUAUCCUGUGUUUUUAUGCGGUGUUAAUCCGGAUUUCUCCGGGCUAUCCCCCUGAUCAAGGUAGGUUGCAUACGCGUUACGCACCCGUGCGCCGGUCUCUGGGCUGCAAGCAGCCCAUACCCCUCGACUUGCAUGUAUUAGGCCUGCCGCUAGCGUUCAUCCUGAGCCAGGAUCAAACUC